GGCAGUUCUCAGGUGACACAUCCGGAAUCUGGCUCCCUCCUCUCUGGUUUUGGGGUGCAUCACCUGAGAACCACC
rfam:Myotis davidii contig28988, whole genome shotgun sequence.